GAGCAGUGGUAAUCACCUGCUAUGAACAAGUAUUAAUAGAAGUCUGUGGCUCCAGGUAGAGAGCAUAACAGAUAGAUAUUACAAUAGGUAUUCAUUAAAUAGAUGUCUGUGGCUCCUGGUAGAGAGCACAACAGAUAAAUGGUAUAACAAGAUGGCUGCUCUAGGCAGAGAGCUUAACAAUUAAAAACUAUCUGCUUCCUAUAGGCAGAUAUUAGUGGAAGUUUGAAUUAAUUGCUUUAAAAGUGCUAUAAAGAUAGAUUGCUCUAAUAAGUCUUAUAGGGUACUCAUUUUCUGUCUAAUGUGGGCUCCACGGGAAUUUUGCGUUUAAAUCCUGAUUUGACAAGAUGCCUCUUAAAAGUAGGUAUAGAAAGGAGAGGGGAGGGGGAGGGAGGGAGAGAGAGUCUAUUAUAAACCAAAUAAUGGUAAAAACUAAAUAUAGUUGUAGAAUAUGAUAACCUGAGAGGGAGAGGGCAGAGGGCAGAGGGCAGAGGGCAGAGGGAGAGGGGAAGGAGAGAGAAAAGGAAAGGGGAAAGGAGAAGAAAAAGAAAAGAAAAGAAAAGAAAAGAAAAGAAAAGAAAAGAAAAGGGAAGGGAAGGGAAGGGAAGGGAAAUAGAAGUGUGAAUCAAUUGUUUUAAAGAUGGUAUAAUAAAAUCUGCAUGAGACUCAUAUUCUGCCUAACGUGGGCUCCACGGGAAUUUCAGGUUAAUAUCCUGAAUGACAAAUUGGAAAGGCCUAAAUAGACUAAAAUGUGUGUGAUUUUGAGUAUUGUAGUUGUUUUAUUCCUCUGGGACAGAUGGUGAGCUACAGGUUUUCCUGGUUACCGGCUGAAGGAAAUGCUGAUUUGGGGAAAAGAUGAUUAAGGUAUUUACACCUUCCAGAGUUCUAGGGAUCAGAUUUGAUAGAGGGAGACCCCCCCUGAGAACUAGAUUCCAGAGAAUCAAACAAAAAGGUUAUCUUGAUGAUACUAAAAUUUUGUUUUGAGAUUUAUAUAUUACAGAAUAUACAGCCUUGGUGAAUUUCAUCGUCAGACAUGCUGAACUGACCGGCCUGAACUCUUGAUGUCUUGGUUUUUCAUCUGGAUCCAGUCAGGACACAGACAUCAGGGACUAAUACAAUCAUUGGUGUGGCCUUCUUAAGGCCAACUAACUCGCCCAUUUCCCUACCCUUCCCCCUCCCUUCAAAAAUAUCUCAAUGCCCAUAUUCAGCUUGAAGAAGUUAUGAAGAGUCGUCGUUCCAGUUCCCUAAGCUUUGGGGCUGGGGGUGGUUAUUAUAGGUUGUCUUUGAUACUAAAAAUGUUGAAGUACAGGGCUUGGACUCAGGCCUUCUAUUGCUGUUAUUAUAAACAGAUCUGAGAUGCUUAAGCCUGUGAGUUAAGGGCCAAAGAGGAAAUUCAUGGCUCAGAGUUUAUUGUUAGGGGGUUUUCGGUUAUUUUAAUCAGAAAUGGCCGUGAGUAGUUAACAGAGAACAGUCCAGAUUACUUUACAUAGAUAGUUGGUUUUCAAAAAACGUCAGAAGUCCACAGAACGUGACAUUUAAUGUUAUUUAUUCACUUGUUGAGAGAAGUCUGCUAAUGACAGCUUUCCCUGUCUUGGAUUCAAAGAAGAAACUGAGCAUCUUUGAGUUACUUCAGUUGUGGCAAAACAACCACUAGGCAAGAAUUGCCUCAUUCAUCUACAGAUGUAAUACUGUCCAAAGAAAGGACACAAUUACAGGUUAGGACAGCUUGACUCUGCCGAGACAGAGUAGGCUAGUCCUUAAUAUUCCUGUUUCUUUACGUCAGGUGACCCUGGCCAGUAGGCUGAAGACCGAUGCUCCAACAUGCUGAAGUAAGGGACCGUCCAGGGCUUAUUUGGGUUGGAGAUUUACCACAACAGCUGCAGUCUGGUGCUUGGCUAUCUCAGGUGUUCUUCUUGUGGGAUUCACCCAAGUGGCCCCAUGCAAGCAUCAAUGGUCUCAGCUUCACUUCCACCUGAGCCCGUGGCCCUAGGUGGGGUUCUUCUAGUCUCCAACUUGCUCCCUGUCCGUG
rnacentral:lncRNA from 1 species